GACCAUUCUGCAAUAAGAAGGGAUCGAUUGUUCAUUAAAAAUAGCUUUAAUAUUCAUUAUGCCAUAAAUUAAAUAUGUUGAUUUCUAACACUACAUGCUAACGACAUGUAUAUAUUUAUAAAUAUAGCAAUUCAUAUUAGCGAAUCAUGUGGAUACGCUUUUAAGAGAAAUGUGCCACGAUUUCCAAACAAAAAGGUGAAGUGGUGCUUACGCCGUCUGCGGGCUUGUCUUUGUCCAUGGAGCAAAACGCACGACGGAUCAAUAACCUUGUUGUGGUCUCAAUGCAGGAUGCAGGAAACCAUACUGCUCUUUCUGAGUCUUUCAGUCUGUCUAUGAUGGUUUCCCCUGCAGCAGGGCUCCUCCUGGGCCACCAUGGCUCGCUUCCUAUCUCCAAAUCCUACUCUUAUGUGAACAAGAAUCUGAGCUGGACUGAUGAUCAGCAACACUGCAGGGAGCGAGAUGUGGACCUGGCCGCCAUAGACGAUGUAGAGGACCUCCAGCACCUGCAAGAGUCCAGAACAGGCUUUAAUUAUGAUGACUUCAUGUGGCUCGGACAUUAUAAUGACCACCAGUUGGAAGUGUGUUCCCUUUGGAACCGAGACUGCAAAUGAAUGCCAAAACUAUGGAAGGUGGCACAACCAGAACCCGGACUUCUGGCUCCACGAAGAGAACACGAUUGUUAGAUAUGGGUUACUGGGUUAAUGUGUCGUGCAACGAGCACCAUAGUGCAGUUUGCUUUGAUGGUAAGGUGUAUUGUUAUUAUUUAUUUUUGUAGGCCUAUUGGCACUGAUAUAUGAAUGACAUUUGAUGAAUGAUAUUUAAAAUUGAAAGGAGCAAUUUAAUGUAAAAUAUUUUUAAAUGGCGAGUAACUUAGAGUAAGUUGAUUUAACUCUUGGUAACUUAACACACUGAGACGGGCACCUCACCUGGAGUUGGUUCCCGGGCCCAGCCCUGUGAAGCAGGCAGCCUCUUGUUCAAUUAGCGGUGACACGGCAACACGUGACGGCACGGGUCAGAUACAAACUCUUGACGUCCUCCUCUACCGUGCCGUGCAGGUCAAUGUAGAAGCGCCAUGGCUGAGUUGGGAAUUGCCUUUCAUAUGAUCGUCAACAUAGUAAUCUAUACUGUUUUAUCACUGUUACUGAAAUAAACAGUAAAAUCCUA